rnacentral:rRNA from 1 species
CCUACGGGAGGCAGCAGUGAGGAAUAUUGGUCAAUGGACGAGAGUCUGAACCAGCCAAGUAGCGUGAAGGAUGACUGCCCUAUGGGUUGUAAACUUCUUUUAUAUGGGAAUAAAAUGUUCCACGUGUGGGAUUUUGUAUGUACCAUAUGAAUAAGCAUCGGCUAACUCCGUGCCAGCAGCCGCGGUAAUACGGAAGAUCCGAGCGUUAUCCGGAUUUAUUGGGUUUAAAGGGAGCGUAGGUGGAUUGUUAAGUCAGUUGUGAAAGUGUGCGGCUCAACCGUAAAAUUGCAAUUGAUACUGGAAGUCUUGAGUACAGAAGAGGUAGGCGGAAUACGUGGUGGAGCGGUGAAAUGCUUAGAUAUCACGAAGAACUCCGAUUGCGAAGGCAGCUCACUGGACUGCAACUGACACUGAGGCUCGAAAGUGUGGGUAUCAAACAGGAUUAGAUACCCCAGUAGUC